GUGAAUCAUCGAAUCUUUGAACGCACAUUGCGCCCACUGGUAUUCCGGUGGGCACGCCUGUCCGAGCGCCAUCACACCCCCCAAGCCUUGCUUGAUGUUGGGCGAUGGACGCCUCCGAGCGAACAAGCCCCAAACCUCUGGGCGCCUACCCGCCGGCCGCUAGCGUAGCAAGUCAUCUUCACUCGCUCGCGUGUCCGACGGGGGGGUCGCCCCCUGAAAACAUACAUUUUCUUAGGUUUGGCCUCGGAUCAGGCGGGGAUACCCGCUGAACUUAAGCAUAUCAAUAAGCGGAGGA
rnacentral:misc_RNA from 1 species